rnacentral:rRNA from 1 species
UACGUAGGGGGCAAGCGUUGUCCGGAGUUAUUGGGCGUAAAGAGCGCGUAGGCGGUCCGGUAAGUCAGCUGUGAAAGUCAAGGGCUCAACCCUUGAAAGCCGGUUGAUACUGUCGGGCUAGAGUCCGGAAGAGGCGAGUGGAAUUCCCGGUGUAGCGGUGAAAUGCGCAGAGAUCGGGAGGAACACCAGUGGCGAAGGCGAGUCUCUGGGAUGAUGCUGACGCUGAGGCGCGAAAGCCAGGGGAGCAAACGGG